AAGAAAGUGGCAGAACGGUGAUGUGGUUGGCUUGAAACCAAUUUAUGGGGGUUCAAUUCCUCCCUUUCUCG
rnacentral:tRNA from 1 species